UUCGCAAUGCCCGAAAGGGUGACGAUGCGACGCCGCGUGAGCGAAGAAGGCCCUAGGGUUGUAAAGCGCUGUCGAGGGUUAAGAAAUGUAAGUGCGCUAAUAUCGCGUUUAUUUGACGAAGGCUCCAAAGGAAGUCACGGCUAACUCUGUGCCAGCAGCCGCGGUAAUACAGAGGUGGCAAGCGUUGUUCGGAAUUAUUGGGCGUAAAGAGCACGUAGGUGGGUUUGCAAGUCAGAUGUGAAAGCCUUCUGUUCAAAGGAAGAACGGCAUCUGAAACUGCAGAUCUUGAGUGUAGGAGGGGAGAAUGGAACUUCUGGUGGAGCGGUGAAAUGCGUAGAUAUCAGAAGGAACGCCGGCGGCGAAAGCGAUUCUCUGGCCUAUUACUGACACUCAGGUGCGAAAGCUAGGGGAGCAAACGGGAUUAGAUACCCCGGUAGUCCUAGCCGUAAACGAUGGGCACUAAGUAGAGGGGUUUU
rnacentral:rRNA from 1 species